rnacentral:rRNA from 1 species
GACGAACCGUGCGAACGUUGUUCGGAAUCACUGGGCUUAAAGGGCGCGUAGGCGGGCACCAAGGUCCGGGGUGAAAGCCCCCGGCUUAACCGGGGAACGGCCUUGGAAACCGGGUGCCUGGAGUGGGGGAGGGGCGUGCGGAACACUCGGUGGAGCGGUGAAAUGCGUUGAGAUCGAGUGGAACUCCGGAGGCGAAGGCGGCGCGCUGGACCCUUACUGACGCUGAGGCGCGAAAGCCAGGGGAGCGAACGGG